rnacentral:rRNA from 1 species
AUUGAACGCUGGCGGCAUGCCUUACACAUGCAAGUCGAACGGCAGCACGGAGCUUGCUCUGGUGGCGAGUGGCGAACGGGUGAGUAAUAUAUCGGAACGUACCCAAGAGGGGGGGAUAACGUAGCGAAAGUUACGCUAAUACCGCAUACGAUCUAAGGAUGAAAGAAGGGGACCUUCGGGCCUUGUGCUCCUGGAGCGGCCGAUAUCUGAUUAGCUAGUUGGUGAGGUAAAGGCUCACCAAGGCAUCGAUCAGUAGCUGGUCUGAGAGGACGACCAGCCACACUGGAACUGAGACACGGUCCAGACUCCUACGGGAGGCAGCAGUGGGGAAUUUUGGACAAUGGGGGCAACCCUGAUCCAGCAAUGCCGCGUGAGUGAAGAAGGCCUUCGGGUUGUAAAGCUCUUUUGUCAGGGAAGAAACGGUGAAGGCUAAUAUCCUUUGCUAAUGACGGUACCUGAAGAAUAAGCACCGGCUAACUACGUGCCAGCCGCCGCCGUAA